GACGAACGCUGGCGGCGUGCUUAACACAUGCAAGUCGAACGGAAAGGCCCUGCUUUUGUGGGGUGCUCGAGUGGCGAACGGGUGAGUAACACGUGAGUAACCUGCCCUUGACUUUGGGAUAACUUCAGGAAACUGGGGCUAAUACCGGAUAGGAGCUCCUGCUGCAUGGUGGGGGUUGGAAAGUUUCGGCGGUUGGGGAUGGACUCGCGGCUUAUCAGCUUGUUGGUGGGGUAGUGGCUUACCAAGGCUUUGACGGGUAGCCGGCCUGAGAGGGUGACCGGCCACAUUGGGACUGAGAUACGGCCCAGACUGCUACGGGAGGCAGCAGUGGGGAAUAUUGCACAAUGGGCGGAAGCCUGAUGCAGCAACGCCGCGUGCGGGAUGAUGGCCUUCGGGUUGUAAACCGCUUUCGCCUGUGACGAAGCGUGAGUGACGGUAAUGGGUAAAGAAGCACCGGCUAACUACGUG
rnacentral:rRNA from 1 species